GACGAACGCUGGCGGCGUGCUUAACACAUGCAAGUCGAACGGAAAGGCCCUGCUUUUGUGGGGUGCUCGAGUGGCGAACGGGUGAGUAACACGUGAGUAACCUGCCCUUGACUUUGUGAUAACUUCAGGAAACUGGGGCUAAUACCGGAUAGGAGCUCCUGCUGCAUGGUGGGGGUUGGAAAGUUUCGGCGGUUGGGGAUGGACUCGCGGCUUAUCAGCUUGUUGGUGGGGUAGUGGCUUACCAAGGCUUUGACGGGUAUCCGGCCUGAGAGGGUGACCGGCCACAUUGGGACUGAGAUACGGCCCAGACGCCUACGGGAGGCAGCAGUGGGGAAUAUUGCACAAUGGGCGGAAGCCUGAUGCAGCAACGCCGCGUGCGGGAUGACGGCCUUCGGGUGGUAAACCGCUUUCGCCGGUGACGAAGCGUGAGUGACGGUAAUGGGUAAAGAAGCACCGGCUAACUACGUG
rnacentral:rRNA from 1 species